rnacentral:lncRNA from 1 species
GAAGAACUUGACCGGAAACGAAUGGAGCAGCGCGGGAGAAUCUACACAGAUCUUUCUAAAUGUCAGGCUCCUCGGCUGAAGCUGACAGGUGGGCGGAGCCUAAAAGGAUGUGGGCGGAGUCAGUGGAACAGUCCAGCAGAGGUUUCUGUGGAUUCUGCAGAGUUUUCUACUCAAACCUGCAGCAGCACCUGUCCAGUCAGAGUCACCUGACGUCCGUCCAAUCAUCAUCCAGAGCCAGGCCGCUGUUGGAGCGCUUCCUCCAGGACGUCCUGCUACACCACCCGCUCAACUACAGCGACCCCAGGCCGUCCCACGACGACCUCCCAUUGGUCCCCGCUCCUCCAAGGGCCACGCCCCUUCUGCUGCUCCAAUCACAGGAGGACUCUGUGGAUAGAACCAAUGAGCAGGGGGAGGCAGCCAAUCAGAGCCGUUACCAUGGCAACAGGCAGCAGGAUGACACCAACAACCCCCAUCUCAUCUCCAUGGAAACCAUUAGUGAAGGCUGGGACUCACCUGUGCAGAUUGUGAUGGACACACCUGUCCAGGUGAGGCAGUGGGAGCUGCAGAACGUCCGUUCUCUGAUGGACUCCCACGUUCACCUGGACAAUCAGCUGUAUGAGUCUCACCUGUGCUCAGCGCUGGGGGCGGGGCCUGGACCAGGGGGCGGGGCCUCACGCUCGGGGUUUUGGUAUGCCCCCAUUGAGACGAUUCUUCCUGCCCCAGAACACAUUCCUGAUUGGCUGAGAGGGAAGAGCUGGGCUCAGGUAGAGCAGGAGGACGAGGAGCACGUGGAGAGGCUGGUUCGACAGUUCAGACGAGGACGCUUCACAUGCUUCUUCGAUUCAGAGUCGUUAGCCAGGUACGGGAGGCGGAGCCACAAAAAGAAGAGGUGGGAGGAUCCAGAGCCAAACACAGGUGCGCCGUUGUCAUUGGCCCAUGAUGACGGUGACUCAGAGGUGCCGAGAAGGAGGCGGAGCUUCAGGGCUUCCAGGUGCCAGGUGGUUAAAGUCAGCCGCAGCACACAGACCAGUCACAUGAUGAGUCACAUGACCAGCCCUCAACCAACCACAGAGGCCCCACCCACCACUAAGACCCCUUCGCCAAUAGUGGUGCCUGGAACCAAUCCAAGCCAAGAGGAACGGACGCCAAAGCGCUGUUUCAUCUCACCUGUGCAACUAAUCACAACACACCUGUACGUGUUGUCAGGCCCCGCCCCUUCCUGUGUCCUCAGCUCCGACUACAAACACUGUAGGAAGAAGAGGCGUCCUCAAAAUCAGCUGAGGUCAAAGGUCAAAUACAAACGCUCCCCUGUGUGGAUCUAUGACCCAACUACCUGUCGCCCCUUAAGCCCCACCCCCAGCCCUUUAAUCUCCACCCUGAGCCUUUUAAGCCCCGCCCCCCAGGCUCACGUUCGUCAGCUCUUCAGGAGCCUCAGUCCAGACCUGAACACAGCUGGGGUCAAAGGUCACAAGCCAGUCGCCCUUGGCCAGGGCAGGAGGGGGCGUGUCUCAAGGCGAGGUCGCAUAUCACAGCCUCAGGCCACGCCCCAUCUGCCCAGGAGGGCGGGACUAAGGAGUGGUGUGAGGGGGCGGAGCUAGCAGCUCACCUUAGUAAGAACAAAGUGGACUCGUUUGUUUAUCUGUUUAUUUCAGUUCAUUAAAUAAAGUUUUACACCUGCUCUGUCUCA